rnacentral:rRNA from 1 species
AACGUAGGGGACGAGCGUUAUCCGGAUUUACUGGGCGUAAAGCGCAUGUAGGUGGCGCGGAAAGUUGGACGUGAAAGCUCCUGGCUUAACUGGGAGAGGUCGUACAAAACUACCGUGCUUGAGGUUGGAAGAGGAGAGCGGAAUUCCCGGUGUAGUGGUGGAAUGCGUAGAUAUCGGGAGGAACACCAGUGGCGAAAAGCGGCUCUCUGGUUCAAUACUGACACUGAGAUGCGAAAAGCGUGGGGGAGCGAAACGGGG